GCUCGGGUGGCGAAACCGGUAGACGCAAGGGACUUAAAAUCCCUCGGGGGCAACCCCAUGUGGGUUCGAAUCCCACCCCGAGCA
rnacentral:tRNA from 2 species